GCGUUAAAUUCCUGACUCCGGAGCUCAAGACGUGCCAGGCGGGGAGGUAAGCGCACGCGCAGUAGAAGCGAGAGCUCAGUGUCACCUGACUUAUCAGACCAUGUCACGUGACAAGCCGUCAACGGUAUAAGGGCAGCAACCUCUGUGUGUCAGAAAAAUUCGAAGUUUUCAGAAAAUUUUGGGAUUUUUCACCAAGAAAAGAUGCAAGUAACGACGAAAAUGUACCACUAUGUUAAAGUAGAGUAUGUCCCGAAAAAGCAAACAAGCAAUCUUGGAAUCAGAAUAAAAGUCAUAACAGCACCACCAGAGAGAUGGACUCCUUCCCUUGAGACAGGAAGAGUAGAAAAGGAAGAGCCCUUCUCUCCUAUGCCUCAAGAGAUACUGAAAACUAAAAAAAAAAAAAAAAGC